GUUAAUUAGGAGAGAGAAAAAGACACUAUACUAACAUGGUUGCUACAAAAAAGGGUAAUAUUUCACACCAUGUGAAAAAAAAAACCCGAACAAAAUAUAAAAAAAAAUGAUCUAUAUAAAUAUUUCUAUGAGAAUUUGUCUAGCUAUAGCAAACCCCAACAAAAAAUAAAGUUUGUAAUUUUUAUCUCUUCCUUCAACGCAAAAAAUACACACAUACUACCCAUAGUAAUCAUCAUGUUCUCUUCCCUCUUCCCUUCAUUAUUAUUAUUAUUAUUAUUAUUAUUACCUCACUUUCAUCAUCACCACCACAUCUUUUACCUCCCACCAACCGCACCAAAACCAUCAUCCACCUCUAAUAAGGUCAUCACCAAAAUAAUAAGAAAGAAAAAAGAUAGAGAUAAGGGUUAGAAGAUGAAGAAGAUGGCUUCACACAAGAAGAAGAAAAAACCCUAGUUACCAAGGGAAUUGAAGCUUUAUGGUCCGAUUGUUUGCUAGAUCAAGCAACUCUAUUAUUGUUUGUACCUCUCUUUAUUUCUCUCUAUAUUAAUGGAUUUUUUUUUUUAUUCAAGUUUUGGUUUGUGUUACAUCACAUAUAUAGCCAUAUAGGUAAUUAUAAUAUAUGAUUGAUUGAUAUAAAUAGUGUGGAACUUUUAUUUUAUUUUUUUGGAUUGGUAUUUUGUAUGAUAAACAAGAGGAUGAAUUUUUGUUUGUUUGUUUUGGAUGUGUUGUUGAAAACUAUUAUUUUGUGGCUUGUUUUGGUUGUAAUAAAUAUGAUUUGAAGACUUGAAAGUAUAUAGAUCUGGAUUUUCCAUAUCUGUGUAAGAAAAUAAAUGUAAUUUGUUUAGAAGAAUAAUAAGGUUGGAUUGCUCCAAACUAUAU